GCUAAGCGGCUAAGUUAGCUAGCGGGCUAAUUAACACAGGUGGCUAACUUACCGCUGAACACCUGUGUUAGUUGCUGCCGCAGCUGUCAUUUGUAGAAUGAACUUCUCAACCUGUAUUUCUCUACUAUGUAUUUUAGCUUUUAAAAAAGUUAUUUCACUUUAAGGUUAACUGAAACCCGUUGAGCUGCACUAAAGUUUAACAUUCAGCUGGUUUGGAUUAAACAGCGCUUAACUUAACAUUGCGCAACAUUACCUCUCUGAAUCUCCAUAAUUUCAUUAAAUUCCUUCUCUCUUCCACUGCUCAAGUUCAAUCCAGUAUAUAAAGUGACAUUAAUAGUGAAUAAACUAACAACCAGCCAUUGUAUUUAUUUACUAUUGCAUUUAUUUGUAGUAAAACAUGAGUUGAAACAUCCUACUUUUGGAUCUAGAACUGCACAAGCCGUUCAUUUUCAGUCACCUGAUGAGUUAAACUCCCCUUUUUAUGUGAGGUUGAAGCAGAAAGUCUGAGUUAACAAAGAAAGUUGUUUAUAAUUUGUGAUACCUGUUAUCUCUGACUUUAGUUUUUGGUGAGCUGAUUUACACGUAGAAACGUUGUUCAGGAAGAUUUCUCAGUAGCUCAGAGGACAGGCUGCUUUUUACACAACCUUGUAAGAGAAUGUCUGUCAAUGCUUUCAGCAGAAUUUAGAAACACAACACUUCCUAAACAGAUAUUUUGAGGCUGUGAGGUUGAAUGUUUGAGAGUAUAUCAGUGUGUUUGUUUGUGGUCUUUCUGUUUCUAGGUGGAAGCUGAAUUAGUGAGGAUGACUCCUGCUCCUGUCAUCUCUAAGCUCCUCACACAUCUUUACCUGCACAUGAGGAAAAUCACUCCUGUAGAAUGCAGAUGCACAAUGAGGGACGUCUGCAGAGACUGAGAAAGAGUCUCACUACAUCCUUACAUGAGGAAAAAGACUUUAUUGAAGACUACAAUGAGAAAAACUAUCAGACAGCAGAGGGCUGCAUUCAAGUUGAGCUCUGAACAUUUGAUCUGGAACAGGAAUUCAAUAAUGGCAGCAUGAGCUUCAUUUCAGUCUGUAGCUGCUGAAUUCAUGGAUGAAUCAUCUGGCACUAGAGAGGAAGACCAUCAAACAUCCACGUCAGCUGAUGGAGGUCCAAGAGUCUCACCAACCAACCAACCUACAGAGUGAGGACCUCGAAUCUGAUUGGACGGCCUCCUAUUCAGCCACAUGUGUGAACAAAUGCCUCUAAGUUGAUUUGUUUUCUAAAAUAAAUCUAGUUUGAGUCCUAAUCUAUGCCUGAGUGUUUGCUUCUUUACACCGCUGUUAACAGUUUAGGCUGUUAGAUUGUUCCAGAUAAGACAAGUACAAGAUUCUUCAGAGCCGUUCUACCACGAGCCUGACAGGAAGAACUCCAACAGCUACUGAAUGUUCCUGUGGUUCCCUCAAGGCUACAGGAGGAGCCCUACGAGGACGAGCCGGUCCACCUGAUGGUGGCCAGUCGCUGCAGUUCAAAGCCAACACCGACUACGUGGACUUCUACUGGACCACACAGAGGUCUUCAAACCGGACCAACAAGUUCAGCGACUCCCCGACUCGUGGGUCUGAGGACGCCGCCGAGCCUCGGCCCAGCCGGCCUCCUGUCUGUGGGUGUUUGAAUGCUGAGAGGUUUGUGGAUGCAUGUGAACGUGUCUGUGUUGAAACAGCAGCUUUGGACUCAGUAACGCCAGGAAAAACCAAGAGGUCCUUUAUUUGUGACUUGCACUAAAAAACUGAUGAAAAUAAGUUUGCCAGGGUUCUGACUGAUAACAGAUUAUUAAAUAAUGAAAAUAAUAGUUUAAAUAUUCCUUUAAACAAUCCUUUUAGGUCUACAUUUCCUUUACACUGACUUCUUGGUAUAUGUACAAGUAUUUUGGGUGGAAUAUACCAUUAAGCCCAAUGUUCAAGGGUUCUUCUGGGAAUAUACUAUUAAACCAACCUUUUAGGUAAAUGUUCCAGGAUGUUGGGUAGAAUAUACCAUCAGAUCAACCUUUUAGGUCUACAUUGGAAGAUUUUAGAGUAGAAUAUUACUCCAAACCAUCCUUUAGGUCUACAUUUAAGGUGGAAUACUCCUUCAUACUAACUUUUUUGGUCUACAUUGAAGGAUUUUUUCUAAACCACCCUUUCGGGUCUAUAUUUGGGGUUUUAGGUGGAAUAUUCCUUUUACCCAGCCCCUCAGCUCUCUUUGAGGAUUUUGGAUGGAAUACUCGGUUAAACCAACAUUUUAGGUGCAUGUCCAAGGAUUUUUGGUGGAAUGUUCCUUUAAGGUGGAUGUUUGAGGACCUUGUAGGUGGAAUACUUCCUGAAACCAACCUUUUAGGUCAACAUUCAAAGAUUUAAGGUGGAAUAUUCCUUUAAACCAACCAAUGUUCCCUGUAAUUUUUCAUGAGUCUGAGCAAACACACAAACUCCCUGAGCGUCCCUUGGACCACUGUGAGCAACAUCAGACGUGUGCACUGUGGUCACACCAGCAUCACAUCCAUUCAAGUUACAUGGUUUAUUAAAAGAAUCAAAUUACAGCAUUUACAUUUCUGUUAAAACACUUUGUCAACAGGAGCCAGUUGAAGGCUGCAGUGAUUUUAGUGACACUACAAUGUAUCAGAGUGAAGUUAUUGAAUAUUUGUCUCUCUUUACUGUUGCAGUGGUUUUGCAAAUUGCAGACGGACCCUGUUCACUCCAUAGACACCAAUGUUAUUCUGUAGCUUGAAAGACAGCUACUUUUGAUAAAACUGGGCUUGUAGCACAUUGUCUACCUUACAACGAUGGGAAAGAGGCACUGUUUAUGUUUUGACAACCUAUAUCUAACGAGUUAUUGAUGCUGGAAGUCUGAAUCUGUGAAUAUCUUUCCAACUUUACUGAACUUGGGGCCACUACCACCUAAGGAGUGAUAUAUUUAAUUUUGAAAAAAGCAUUUAGCCAUACUUAAAGCUUUAAGUGCUUUAUUAACACGGAACUAAAAAUUUUGUAUUGUUUUAUUAUCACAGGUUCUGUCUGAAAAGAGGUGGCAUCAUUUUAAACAGUGAAAUCAAACUAAUAAAAUGUAAUGACCAACCAGUGAGCAAUACUGGAUUCUGCAAAAACAUAAACAACUUUUUUUAAAAAUCUAAAUCUUAUCUUAACACAGUUAAUGUAUUAACUUAUUUUCGUGUGUAUGCAUGUAUUUAUUGAUUUAUUUAGUACUGUUAACAUAUCAGAGUUCUGAGUGAAUUUUUCUUAAGAUAGGCAAAGGCCAUUUAUUGAUUACAUAUAGGCUGUUAAAUGUUUAUUAAAAACUAAAAAGCAUUUAAAAAAACAACUUAGGCAUUUAUUGAGUCACUAAAAUACUGUAGAGUACAGACCACAUCAGCAUGAUUAUAAGCAUCCUCUGGUAAAUUAACAACCAGAUACUGAUGUCUCUCACCAUAUGGACUUCAGGAGAUGACUGGGGGAUGAUAAACUGUGACCUACUGGUUGGGUUCUCUCUGUUCUCAUGUUUCUUACAUGUUUGUCCCCUGACAGCCGGGUCGUAAUGUUUUUUGAGCAACACACCAUACUAUGACAUUUUUACAAUGAUGGUUCUACUAUGGAACCAGUUUGACAUGUUCAGGCGUUCUUUGUGUGAAAACUCAGAGAUUUCAGGUAUCAGAAGGUGGUUUUCAACUUUCUUUGUUAACUUUCUGCUUCAACUUUAAACUAAAUUUCCUUGACUAACCCAGCCCUCUGGACUUCCAGUAAGCUGUGUUCCUAUUGGCUGUCCAGGUGGCUGCUUGGUGUUAUCAGGAACACCUGAGCAGCUUGGUGUUAUUAGGAACACCUGAGCAGCUCAGUGUCUUCCUGCUUUAUUUAGCUGCAGACAAACAUUUCCUCUGUUUCUCUUCACCACAGAACUGGGUUUGGCUCCAUUGCUUUAGUUUGUUCUUUAGGUGUUGGCUUGCAGCUUCCAGCAGUAAAAUCAUCUUUAAUGUGUUUCUUGGUGUGUUUUAGGGCUUUGUUCUGGAUAGUUGUCUUGGUAAAUGAGGUUCUUUAGCCACAGUUAGCACAUGGUGCUAAUGUGUGCAGUGAUUAGUGGAUUUGGUGCAGCUGUGUCUUUAUCUUGGCUGUAGUGAGUCUUUAGAGGUUUUUGGUCAGACACAUUCUGUAUUCUUGUUUGUGAACCAACGUUGGUUGUCCAGAAGGUAAGAGUUCCUGUCCUGAUUCUCUGUUCUCAGAGGUUCUCUGGUAGGCUGCAGGAGACUUUAGCGUUUGGGUUGUGUUAGUUUGGUUUUUGUACGGUUUCAUUUGGACGACUAUCUUGAGGCCCCUCCAUGUGGUUUAGUGAGGUUUUCUGCAACAGUUCUACAUAGCAGCCUGCAGCAGAAGAGACUUUGAGAGUUUUUAGGAAGUUCUGGAGACCAGACUUUAGAGCAGCAGAAACAUUUGUCAGCAGUUUGAGCAGGAGAAGGUGAGCUUCAGAGUAGAAAUGAGACGGAAACCUUCUUGACCCGUGUGGUGAGGUCCUGUACCAAGAGUUUGAGCAGGUUGUGAAGAGUCUGUAGUUCUUUGGUCUGAAAGCACAAGAAGAGUCGACUCAUUAAAGGAGAAAACAGGAGAUAAUGUUGGUUCUUCUGUCGUUCUGCAGUUUCCUUAGACUGAAUAUCAAGUUUAUAUUUUAAAUGAUUUACCAUGUGAGCCCAAGAAGACUUCAAUAAACUCCCUCCAUCCCCUGAACACAACAUAUUUUAUUACCAUGUUAAAUCUUUUUUUUUUUCAAAUGUUUUUGAGUUUUAAUCAUAGUUUUAGCAUAGUUUUUUUCUCUUUGCUUGUUUAGUUUUGUCAUCUGUGUGAAAGGUGCUAAACAAAUAAAGUUGAAUUGAUAAACUGA